rnacentral:rRNA from 1 species
UACGUAGGAGGCGAGCGUUGUCCGGAAUUACUGGGCGUAAAGAGCUCGUAGGUGGUUUGUCGCGUUGUUCGUGAAAACUCACAGCUCAACUGUGGGCGUGCGGGCGAUACGGGCAGACUAGAGUACUGCAGGGGAGACUGGAAUUCCUGGUGUAGCGGUGGAAUGCGCAGAUAUCAGGAGGAACACCGGUGGCGAAGGCGGGUCUCUGGGCAGUAACUGACGCUGAGGAGCGAAAGCGUGGGGAGCGAACAGG